rnacentral:rRNA from 1 species
GACAGAGGUGCCGAGCGUUAGGCGGAAUCACUGGGCUUAAAGCGUGUGUAGGCGGAUCGUUAAGUACCUUGUGAAAUCCCCCGGCUCAACCGGGGAACUGCUGGGUAUACUGGCGAUCUUGAGCAAUCUAGGGGCAGAUGGAACAAGUGGUGGAGCGGUGAAAUGCGUAGAUAUCGUCUGGAACGCCAAAGGUGAAAACAGCUCGCUGGGGUUGUGCUGACGCUGAGACACGAAAGCCAGGGGAGCGAACGGG